UACUCAUAUAAACUCAAUAUUUUUAAUAGAAGAUGCUGGCACCCAUACGUAUUGACUUGCUAACUUUCCUGGAAUUUAUGAAUACAGGUCGACUAUUUGUUAAGUCAUAAUAAUUAUUAUGAUGAAGCAGUAGAACCAAAACAUGUGCGAUUUUAACGAAAGCCCAAAGUAUACAACUAAGUAUGGUAAAGAAUUAUUGUAUAAUUAUAUUUUUUGACUAUUGGUUGCCACUCGUUUUCAACAAGUAAAGUGGCUUUUGUGCGUUCUGAAAUGGCCAUGCUAUAGAAUGUCAAAUUUCGCUUCCUAGUAAUGAUAUUCCAGUUAUUAUACUAUUAUUAUAAUAUAAACAAUUUAACAUUUUAGUUGCUUCAAAACUUCUGGUAAAUAAUAAAUAUUGUUAAUAUUCAUACCGAGUAAAAUAGAUCUUGAUAAUAAGUUUAUAUUAUCUUAAUUCUAUGGAAUGCGUUUCUUGAAACUUGAAUUAAUGAAUGCCUGUAAAAGCUAAUGAAAGACUUGUAAUUCUAAUUAUAUUAUUAUAAAAUGUACAAAGUUGUGUUACUAGUGAGCGAAAAGUCAAGGGCCAUAAUAAAUUUCUUUCUUCGUUCAUUCAUAAGGGUAAGGUCUCUUGUGUUGCGUCUUCUGAUUAAAAACAUUUAAAAAUCUUUCGCCUUAUACAAUUUAAACCACUUAAAAGUUACAGAUUGGUUAUAACUCGUUUACAUUAAUUAGUUAAUGGUGCAAUUUUAUGUAUGUAUGGGUGGGUAACUUUUAAGUUCCAAGUCAUAGAUAGUCUAAAACAGUCUAAAUAAUAUUGAUGGGUUAAUUUUUUGGUCACUGUCCUAAAGAUUUAUAACAAGAAAAUUUAGAUUCUUUUGACAGAUCUAAAGAUUUUGAGCCUGAUCCUCGCUUUCCUUCUUUUAGUUUAAAUAAUAUGUAGCAAACAUAAUGUGAUUAUGAUUUGGCUAUCAAUAUUUAUUUUGGUUUUAUGUUUCUCAUUCCAUUUACAAUGCGUGAUAAUUUUGACUCAGAAUAGCGACAAUGUGGUGUAUAAGCUUGAACGAUAUUUAUGACUAUAUUUUUAGAUUUUUUUGUCGUUUAAUCAUUAUUUUCGUCGAACAUAAUAAUUCUAAUAGGAAACGGCUGUAAUUCGGAAUGUUGUAAUUUUUUUUUUUCAUAUUUGUAUGUAUCAAUUUCAUAAUACAUUGCACAAAAGUAUGCUAUUAUAAUAUACAAUGGUAUGGAUUCGAUUUAUAUUAAAAUAUCUAAACUAAAAUCUUAUAAUAAUUAAAAAAGUGCGUCCCACGCGAUCGUUUUACACAUUUUUUAAACCCAAGAAGCCGUAUUCAUUUUACUAUUAUAUCAAAGUUUUCCAGUCGUACUACGACUAACGUUGUUUUUCGGUAUAUAAUUUGCAGUUUAAGUGAAAAAUAAAUUUGUAAUAAAAUUUAUAAGAAAAUUA